GACGAACGCUGGCGGCGUGCUUAACACAUGCAAGUCGAACGAGUGGCGAACGGGGGAGUAAUACGUGGGAACCUGCCCUCCUUUUUGGGAUAAGCCUUGGAAACGGGGUCUAAUACCGAAUAAAGGGGGAUGGCCUCGCGCCUGAUUAGCUAGUAGGUGAGGUAACGGCUCACCUAGGUGAUGAUCAGUAGCCGGACUGAGAGGUUGAUCGGCCGCAUUGGGACUGAGACACGGCCCAGACUCCUACGGGAGGCAGCAGUGGGGAAUAUUGCACAAUGGGCGCAAGCCUGAUGCAGCCAUGCCGCGUGUAUGAAGAAGGCCUUAGGGUUGUAAAGUACUUUCAGCGGGGAGGUGUUACCCGCAGAAGAAGCACCGGCUAACUCCGUGCCAGCAGCCGCGGUAAUAC
rnacentral:rRNA from 1 species